AGUGGUGGCUGGGGGGGUCAGGCCCUAGAAGGAAGCCCGAGGCUGGAGCUGAAGAUAUGGGUCAAAUUCAUUCAUGUCAGGACACUGAUGGGAUGGGAUAAAAGGUGUUGGAGAAUUACUACACACAGGGAAGAAAGCAGAGGGAAGCAUUGCGGAUCAUGGACUCCUAGCUUGGGGCCGAUGGUGCAAAGCUACGCCGUUGCCCAAGACAGGUCACAGAUUGAGGAAGAACUUUGGGGAAGGCAGGCAGUAAGUUCAGUUGUACGCCUGUGAAGCCUACAGGACAUCCAGGAUGAUGCCAGUCUCAGAACUCCCACCGCUCCCCACAUAUCGGAGCAUAGACAGAUAUGGAAUCGCUGCAGGAGAAACGUCAACCAUCAGGAAAUGAGAGCGACACAUGCCUACUUCCUGCACAUUCAAGGGUCAUCCAUUAAGAAACCACAUGUUAGAAUGUGGGUCGCAUUCCACUAAUACCUCGAGGUUAUCAAAGAGCCUUCAGUUUGGUGGAGGAGGCAGUUGCUCUAAAGCUCUUUGCAAGGAGAAAGAGAAGCAUUCUGCAGGAUCCCUACAAAUGAAACGCAACCAGCAAGCUGUCAUUUGUCCAGAGAAGCUCACGCUCCCUGGGAAUUGGAAUAUUCGGUCUCACCCUGAAGAGUAGCUGGACAGAGACAGGAAU